UGGGGAAUUUUGGACAAUGGGCGAAAGCCUGAUCCAGCAAUGCCGCGUGUGUGAAGAAGGCCCUUCGGGUUGUAAAGCACUUUUAUCAGGAGCGAAACGCUGUCGGCCAAUACCCCGGCGGAACUGACGGUACCUGAGGAAUAAGCACCGGCUAACUUCGUGCCAGCAGCCGCGGUAAUACGAAGGGUGCAAGCGUUAAUCGGAAUUACUGGGCGUAAAGCGUGCGUAGGCGGUUUNUUAAGUCUGCUGUGAAAUCCCCGGGCUCAACCUGGGAAUGGCAGUGGAUACUGGGAGGCUAGAGUGUGUCAGAGGGUGGUGGAAUUCCCGGUGUAGCGGUGAAAUGCGUAGAGAUCGGGAGGAACAUCAGUGGGCGAAGGCGGCCACCUGGGACAACACUGACGCUGAGGCACGAAAGCGU
rnacentral:rRNA from 1 species